UACAGAGGUCUCAAGCGUUUGUUCGGAUUCAUUGGGGCGUAAAGGGUGCGUAGGUGGCGCUGUAAGUCGGGUGUGAAAUUUCGGAGCUUAACUCCGAAACUGCAUUCGAUACUGCGGUGCUUGAGGACUGGAGAGGAGACUGGAAUUCAUGGUGUAGCAGUGAAAUGCGUAGAGAUCAUGAGGAAGACCAGUGGCGAAGGCGGGUCUCUGGACAGUUCCUGACACUGAGGCACGAAGGCCAGGGGAGCAAACGGG
rnacentral:rRNA from 1 species